rnacentral:rRNA from 1 species
CAGUAGCCGCGGUAAUACGAAGGGUGCAAGCGUUAAUCGGAAUUACUGGGCGUAAAGCGUGCGUAGGCGGUGAGUUAAGUCUGCUGUGAAAUCCCCGGGCUCAACCUGGGAAUGGCAGUGGAUACUGGCUCGCUAGAGUGUGUCAGAGGAUGGUGGAAUUCCCGGUGUAGCGGUGAAAUGCGUAGAGAUCGGGAGGAACAUCAGUGGCGAAGGCGGCCAUCUGGGACAACACUGACGCUGAGGUACGAAAGCGUGGGGAGCAAACAGGAUUAGAUACCCCAGUAGUCCCUGUCUCUUAUAA